rnacentral:tRNA from 3 species
GCUAGCGUAGCUUAGAACAAAGCAUAACACUGAAGAUGUUAAGAUGGGCCCUGACAAGCUCCGCAUGCA